GGGACAGCGUGAGCUUUCUUGUUUGCCAAAUCAAAGUUGGACGGGUGAAGCACCAACUUGCAAAGUAAAAUACUGUCCAGCACUUAGGACACCAGUACAUGGCAAGAAAGAUUCAAAUGACAUGUCUUGUGGUACUACAGUAGAGUUUAGAUGUGAUGAUUGUUAUGAGGUGGACGGUGACAAUCAUGUGACUUGCUUAUCUAAUCGAACAUGGAAUGGGACAGAACCCAGUUGCAAGAUAAAAUUCUGUUCAGCUCUUGUGACACCGACCGAUGGACAAAAGAACUCAAACAAUCGCUUGUGUAAUACAACUGUAUCUUUUAAUUGUU